ACGCUGGCGGCGUGCCUAACACAUGCAAGUCAACUUGACUGAAGGAGCAAUCUGACAGUAGAGUGGCGCGAGGGUGCGUAACGCGUAAGUAACUUGCCCCAAGGUAAGGAAUAACGUCGAGAAAUCGGCGCUAAUACCUCAUAAUGCAGCGGAUCCGCAUGGAUAUGUUGUUAAAGGUUUACCGCCUUGGGAUAGGCUUGCGUCUGAUUAGUUAGUUGGUGUGGUAACGGCACACCAAGGCUACGAUCAGUAACUGGUCUGAGAGGAUGAUCAGCCACACUGGAACUGAGACACGGUCCAGACUCCUACGGGAGGCAGCAGUGAGGAAUAUUGGGCAAUGCUCGAAAGAGUGACCCAGCAACGCCGCGUGGAGGAUGAAGGUAUUCUAUAUCGUAAACUCCUGUGAGAGCAGACGAAAGACAGAUUAUUAAUCUGGAUGACUGUAUGCUCAGAGGAAGCCCCGGCUAACUACGUG
rnacentral:rRNA from 1 species